rnacentral:lncRNA from 1 species
GAGGAAGCCACUGCUGGCCACAAACCAGAGGAGCAUUUAGUGAGUGUUAGCAGCCGCCAGGCUGACACACUUCAGGGGCCCAGUGGUGACAAAGGGUACUAUGAUCACCCUGUUAUUGCCACUUUUCCAAACCCUGGCUGGCUCUGGUAUGAAUGUGAAGCUAAGCAGAUGGCUUGCUGGCAGCAGAGGAGCCCUCAGGAAGAGCUGACAGUUCCAAGGAAGCCGUGACUGGUGGGACAGACAAGCUGUGCCUGUGAGAGGAUACAGUCAGGUGACAUCCCAGUGACAUUGGAGCUGCUCUCCAGGAGGACCGCCUCUACCGGGUGCCUUAGGUCAGGAGCUGGCUCCUUCCCUGUUGACAGCUGGAGGCACUGUGAGGCCCAGUGCUUCCUCGAGGACAGCUGCUUCACCUGGUUCCAGCUCCACCAAGGUUGAGGAACAGCCCCUGGCCAGCACUACAAAGGAGGAUCAAUGGGUCUCCCAGCACAAGCCAGAGAAAGCAGCAGAGCCUGGGAGUCAGGGCUACUAAGGCCGCAGUGACGCCCGCAGUUGGCAUGUCCCGCUGUGCAACUGGACCCAGGUAGGAAAUACAAGUAACGAACUCAGAUGAAUUUAGCUGACUUCCUCCUCCGCAAGCUGUGGGCCACCUACCCACCCUUCGGUGGCACCCGUGACCUUGGGUCUCUGUAAUCAGCCGG